ACAACGAAAGCGAAGAACAGUUACCGAAGCUACCUUAUUUAACACGAAGACGAGAUGAAGUCUACGCGUUAAAGAAACCGAGGAGUUUAUUAAACAGCGCGAUUACGUUUCCUUCGCUUUUUCUUUCCUCACGCACAGUUAACCGUAGCAUUCGGUCUGGAUGAGCGCAGCCGAUGUUUAAUUAAAGCGAUGAAUAAUACAUUUACCAUACGUUCGCUAAUUAGCGUCCUAUUUCGCGAUACUAAAUAUUGAACAACGAGGGCGCGCGCGUACAAUUAUUUUCGAAGUUAAUUAAAGUGGAUCCGCGUAACACGCGCGUUUAAUUGCACGAAAACAUCGGGACAAAGGGCGGCGCGCGAACGGCUGUUCGUCACGCGAAAAAUAUCUAUUUCUGCCCCCACGAAUUCGUAGAACGAUAGCCUAAGAACUGUAGAUUAGAGAACAGGUGAGAAGUCAUUUCACGCUGUUUUUCGCGUGGGAGUAUGUAGAAUUAUAUAGAACGCGUCGUGCUACGCGUAUUUUGAAAUUCUAAUGGCCAACGAACCGAGUUCUAGAUUUCGUGAGAAAAAUAUUUUUCUAUAAAUAUGUAUGUGUGUUUGACCCUAUUCCAGUAAUUUCUGGUAAAAAAUUCGAUUCGCGUAGAAAACAUUUCUCUCGUGAAACUAAUUCCUCUCUAAUAACACCUUGAUCCAAUUCAAUUUUAUCGAUCCGAGCGUACCUCAUUAUCUGGUUUGUUUGAAGAAUUGGUGGAGAGCAAACGAAAGUAAAGUUUAGAGAUACUAUGAUUGCCAACAUUCCUGUAUAACGAGUCUCUUCGAUAAAAAAAUCUGUAUCUUCGACAAAAACCCAUAGACGUUAUGAGACCGAUCGCGAUCGCGCGGCCGUUUUAUAACGAUGGCGGCUAGGUGGAAUAAACACGCUGCUUCCUCUUUUCUUCCUGGUGUAAAUAAGAACGAAAAUAAAAAAGCGAGACAAGCAGUUUGUCAAGAUAAAGAGAGAAAGGCUAAGGGUGAUUUUCAUCGUCGAUCGCGAGCAUUACGGUCGUACACACCGUUUACCAUGCCAUGGGGAAUUAACGACGAAUUGCUUCUUCUUUUUAUAUCGGCGUUUAUUAAUAGAAAAAGUCUGAGGCGGCGAUCAAUCGUUGCAAGCGCCACCUCUUCCAGCCUGGUGGGUGUCGUUAUUAUGGAACACAAUGAUGUCAGUGUGCACCGGUGGUAUAAUAUUUUUUUCUUCCCUUCUAGUAACUAAUAAAACUCGUUCCCAUUUCGUGCACCAAUAUAUGCUCGUUGCCUUGCACAUGCUAUUAUAAAAAACAUUGAAAACAAGCUAGGGAAACAGAAACGAGGACUAAUUAACUAACGCGAUGCUAAACACCGGUCAAAUAACGCGACCAACAAAAUCCCCGUAAAUAGGGUGCCUUCGAUACGCUACCGAAUACGAGUUAAUAGCUGCAGGGUGUACGGUAUACAGUGUACAUACGUAGAAGAUUCUGUCGAACACGCGGAAACACGCCCGGCAGGUGCGAGAACAAGUUCUGUCCUCGACUCGUAACAUUGAUAUUAUUUCGAGUCUCGUGGCGCGCGACGUUCUCUCUCGCUUGUCCCCUAUCUUUCUCCCUUUCGUGUUAUACCGCGAUGUUCCCUCUCGGUCGCACGCGUGCGCGCGCACACGUACACCUGUGCACGGGCAAGACCAGAAGCUAGAGAAUGUCUCGGCGAAGUAGGGAAAGGAAGAAGGAGGGGGGGGGGCAAGUGAGACGACAGAAAGAGAUAAAUCAGAGGAGGACAAAGAGAAACAAAGGAGAUACAGGAACGGAAAGGAGCAGAGGAAACCGGAAAGAAAGAUCGAAGAAGCGAUAAGAGAGAAUAAAGAGAAAGGUGUAUGGUGUAAAAGGAGAGCAUCGGAUAAAAGCAAAAAGAUGAUAUCGGAUAGAAAUACAGAAUGAGAAAGAGAGUGUCGCGAGAAACAAAGAGGAAAUUAAGGAAGGGGUAGAAGAAAAGAGACAGAAGGAGAAGAAGAGGGAUAGGUAAAAAGAAACGCGAUAGAAGAAAAAAGACAGAGAGGAUGAACGCUCGUGGCGUUUACGGUUUGCUGCUCCCGUCUCGUUCCUCUUCGCUGGCUAACCGUUAUACAACAUCCGCUCUGCCAUAAUGCCCUCCCGCUAGAGUCCCAAGUCCUAUUGUUCAUCGUUAUACAAUCAUUCCCCGAGCUGUACGAAAUUCAAUGCGUUAGGUAUACACACAUACGAUAUUACCGUGCCGAGGAACAGAACUGAAGCACCGCACAACGCGUAUGACUGAAUUUAUCGAUCGCCCAGAGGAAACUGUACGCGUAUUUCUACCUGUGCGCCCGACGCGACGCGUGCUCGCCGACAUUCUGUAACACGUUUUGUUUCCACUUUUCCUCCACGGCGUAACCGUUAAAUUACUUCCUGCGAUUGUGGCUACUGUUUUCGUAUCAAUUAUCCGCGAUCAAUAUAUAUCAGCCACGCAAUGGAACUUUCGCGUUUUCUCAUCAAAUCAGGAAUUAAUGAUUUUGGAAAUUUGAUUGUAUAUCUUCAAUUAAGAUAAGGGAGUUACGUUAGAUAUUUGUAAUAUCUCACAUUUAGGUCAGGCGAUCCAGAUGUAUUUAAGCUAAUCUUUAGAUAACUGCGUGUAUUAAGUACGUAUAUACCGUAAAUUAUACUGCUAUUGUAGUAGAGUACGAUCUUGAGAAUAAGAAGAUUGCAGAUUCUUGUAAUAUAGCAUAACUUUGUAUUAUACGUAUUAGGUUAGAAACUUUGUAUCUAAACGAAACGACACAUACAUAGUACUUGUGCGAGGUUUCGUUUAAAAAGAAAAAAUAUUCUACGUAUCUCGACUGUUGUGUAACUGGUGAAAUAUUUAUUUCACGAGCGUCGUAUAUCUUUAAAAUUCUUUCUUUAUAAGGGAAUUCAAGAUUGUAAAAUAUUGACGGCAUUCGAGGUUAGAUACGGUUUACGUGCCGUAAAAACCCAGCGACAAUACUCGUUUGAAAAUUUUAAUGCAGUUGUUAGGAAAUUUAGGGCAUCAAACACACAUCUAAUCGCGUAUGCUCUCGUACAUUAUUACAGCAAGGAAACAACUAACCUACCGUAACUGCCCGAAUAUAUCGAUCGUCGCUGCGAACCUUGUAUACAUGCUCGUCGCCUAUUCGGCUGCUGCAAGUCACGAUCGUUCGUGACGAUAUCAAGGAAUUAUGUGAAUAAGAAUCAUCUAGUUUCACGAUUAUAAUGCCUAGCUUGCUGAAUUCCCAGGUAACACAAUCGCGGAAAUUGAUCGACUAACAAUACCCAUGAGUACGUCCCUGAGCAAUAGUAUUCCGAACCAGCGAAAAUCUGCGAUCUAUUUUUAUACGCAUCCUUUCUAUCCAUCAUACUGAAAUAUGAUCUGCGCUAUGGAUCAAACACGCUGGAAGUUAUAAAAUUCUCAUGCAUUUUAAAAUGUUUUAAAAUUUUCUCUUCUGCGACAAAUAGUAAAUUUAAAAUAGGGAUAACCAAAUAUCGUAACUGCUAUGUUAUACGAUAUGCAUGUACGUUUAUUUAUUUCUCCGCUCAUGAACUAAAUUUCAAAUAGAUAUUGAUCGUUUUCGUAUCAUCCUACCCGUUUGAAUUUUAAGCGAAAGAAAGAUUUAUGACAAAAUCCGUUCAAUGGGACGCGAUGGUUCAAACUCGCGUCACUUCAGAAAUACAGUUUUGAAUUCCCAUUCGAUAUUCAAUUAACGACUCUGGAUUUAUAAUAUCGAUCCCAUCUUGUUCCUUUCUUUAUUAUUCAUUUUAUUAUUCAUUUUAUUAAACCAAUGAAUUUAAAAUACUUCGCAUUUACCUUGCUCCGUUGGUGAAUAAGAACGUCCCACAAACCACACAUUACACACACGACAAAAAAGGUCACUGAUUAAAUCCGCAGCAUUAAAGCGACGAGCAAGUAAUCAAGUUCCGGAAUUUUCGGCGUUGACCUCUCCGGCACGUAAUGAAGUAGUUACCGACUGACUAAUAAAUCACUGGCCAAUGUUGUCCAAUUUUGUAUGCCGGCGAAAUUUACGAGCAGCUUUACCAGGUUAGCAAUCGAAUAUUAUAGGGUUAUAAAUCCUAAUUUGUAGUUUCAGUGCGAGGAGGCGCGCAUGUCGGUCCAAUCGUCCACGAAAAACAAUACACGAAUGAUCAGAAACUUACGAAUCAGAAGUAACACGAAAAAUCGUUUUACGGAACAAUUUGCGAACGGUAGGUACAGUCGGUAACGAAAAUAAAUGGACAGGUAGUAGAAAUGGUAUCAACGAAGUUUAAUGGAAUUAGUACAAGUGUUAUAAGUAUGUAACACUUUCACGACGAGGCGCUUUCGGCUGUACGUUUCAUCAUUUGGGGACACCUACAAAAUUGUGUCGCGUUUUCCUUCAAAUUUAUACUUUCUUAAUAUUUUGGCACUCCUCUGUCUUUCCUCGAUGCUCUGCAAACACCUGUUUUAAUGUGCAAUAAUUUUACGCGACUCGUAUACUAUUUUAAUCGCUGACAGUCAAAGCCGUGCGUACAUGAUACCCGUCGUAAAAACGUUAACUUUUAUUUAUUAUACGUCAUUAUACCAGAUAGAUUAUGCUCCAAGUACAUAAUUGUAAGUAAUAUUUACAUUUUUGUGUAAAGAAACCGUAAUUAACGAAACUUUAUCGAUAUCCAUCUCCGUUACCUUUUUUGUCUCCGAUUGUAUAUUUUAUUUGAAUGAUAAUUAGGAAGUACGUUGGAUUCGUUUUAGAGAGAGUCAGUGCCGGAAUUUAUCCACGGAUAUAAACGCCAGUAUCGAUAAUUGCCGUGCAAAGCGUUUAACCUUCUUUCUUCUGUCGGUUAAACGAAGCCUGCAGUGCCGCCCUGACGACACCGGGAGAUCCUCAUUGUUCCGCAACAAAUCGUCGUGACCUCUUUGUUCAACGAGAGAAAAUACUUUCUCGCUGGGAGAAUUUUUCACGCUUCCCGGGGGGAAACGAUAUACUCGAUAUCCGAUGACUAAGUAACGAGGUAUUUUGUUGCACGGUAAAAAAACCUUUUGUGCCGUAGACAUCUUUCCUAACUAUCAGAGGAUUUAAUAGAAGGUAUUGUUUCGCCGCGUAGAGGAAUAGAGUCGUAAACCUUUACGGCACUUACUCGUGAAGUACGUUAAUGCCUUAAUUUCGCGGAAUCAAAUUUCAGCGCAGAUAAUUGAAGGGUUCGUAGUAAUAUCGACUUCUGUCAUCUGAAACAAAUUGAAGAAUGUAUUCCUGACUUUUGUUACGAUUCUUUCAGUUCCAUCUCGUCUUUAAUUCGUAUUCCGUAGUUACGAUCGUCAACUCGAAGAAUAAAAUAACCACCGGUAAAAUAGAUUCACGAUCGAUAAAAAGCUAUUCGAGAAUUUAACCUCGCUAAUAAUAAUCAAUUAAAAAACCCAAUUAUAACCAUUAUUUAGAACCAUUUAAAUAUUUAACAACUUAUAAAAGCUUUUGACUGUCGGAAAUAUUAUUCGAUUAUUUCUCAAUCACAACCGAUUUGCAAUCUAAAUCUUUUUCGAUGUUAUAAAACUCGUAUUAUAAAUACGAUAAAUAUCUGUAUUUUUAUCGACUGACACAUAUAUAAAAAUUUCACGCGCCAGUAUCGACCAAUUUUCUACGAAAAUAUUAGUACAGUAAACGACUUUGCGCUUUUAUCGUUUCCCGAGCGAUCGUAUACGGUGACUUUGCGAAUUGAUCGCACUCGAGCUAUGCCGAGAAUCGAUCGCACUCGAGGUACGCCGAGAAUCGACCACACUGCUCGCGGGGAUACCUUUGAUACUAGCUUCCCAACAAAGUCGACUUAACGCUAUUCCUUAUGCGCUGAAACGUACGAGCGAGCAAAUCCAAUUACCGGAAAGAAGAACGGUCAAGGAAAGAGGAUUAUUCUUCUACGUGCAACGACUCCUCUCCGUAAGUUCAAACGCAAUUGUAAAUCUCGAUUGCUCGCUGGUGUUACUUGAAUCUUGUCCACCUACUUCGAUCUUAAUUCUUUCUCAUAGUCAGAAUCGAUUGGUAAAGCGUGCCGUCGAGAGAGGGCGCUCCUUCUUUUGUUAUGCCUAGUUGAUUACGAACACCUAUCUAUACCUGUGAUUUCGAUCGAAGAACGAGAUAAAUAAGUAAAUAAACAAGCGUAUAGAUAGAUACAUAUGUUUUUAAACGAGUAAAUAAACAAAUCGUAUAAUAAAUAAAGCAAAUAAUAUAUGUAUUAUACUUUUCUAGUUUUGCGGAUCUUUAUACAAUUCAAUGUCUUUGUGGACGGAACUAAAGAAACAGAACCUAAACGUGAACCUAAAGUAAAUAUUAUAGCAAGUAUUUAACUAUGGAUAUUCCAUAUAUUUUCACGCAAUACUAUAUAGACAUUUUAUACAUUUUUGCAUUUCUAAAUUUUCUACAAUCGCAUGAACAUCCGCAAUCUAUUAAUAAAACGUUCGUGAAACGUUUAAGAUUCUAUAGGCCUUAUAAAUUAUGGUAAAACUCGGAGAUUAGAUUUUUAUAACUUUUAAAUCUAUGAAUGUUACAGUUAAAGAAUCGUUUAAAGCGUAUCGAUUCGAUGAAUCACACGAACGCAUUGAAAUCGCUGCCUACGAGUAAAGUGAAAUGGUCCUGAUUAUAGUCAGACACGUAUUAUGGUUUGACGAAUACAAAGCGUAAUGAGGCCUGCAUUAGAUGAACUUGAAGAUAAAUGUAUUUGGCGUUGAAGUUGACUGGGAUUAUUAACAAAAGCGAAGUAAGCACGUUAUGAUUUCAUGGAAAAUCACAUUGCUCGCAGCGUUGCUAAUGCGCGCUAUAUAGAACAACCUAAUGGAAACAGGUCAUCCUAAUAUGUUCCAUUACAUUAAUGCUGAACAUGGGAACAUAUUAGUAACAAAUGUGCAAAAAGACUAAUGCGAUAGAUGUAAAAGAAAAGUCCAAACAUUUAUAAACUAAAGAUAUUUUUGUAACAAUAUCGUACGUUACUUCUUCGCAAGAUAUGUCUAAACACAUAAAUUCUUUAACCUGUCAAACCAAACUUGUUUAUCACAUUUUAUGCAAUUUCUAAAAUACUUUUUAUACAAAUUAAGAUGUAUAUAUAUAUAUAUUAAAAUAUUGAAGAAUCUAGUUCAA